GAUGAACGCUAGCUACAGGCUUAACACAUGCAAGUCGAGGGACCGGCGCACGGGUGAGUAACCCGUAUCCAACCUGCCCUUUACUCGGGGAUAGCCUUUCGAAAGAAAGAUUAAUACCCGAUGUAAAGGAUGGGGAUGCGUUCCAUUAGGUUGUUGGUGAGGUAACGGCUCACCAAGCCUUCGAUGGAUAGGGGUUCGGAGAGGAAGGUCCCCCACAUUGGAACUUAGACACGGUCCAAAAUCCGACGGGAGGCAGGAGUGAGGAAUAUUGGUGAAUGGGCGUUAGCCUGACCCAGCCAAGUAGCGUGAAGGAUGAAGGCUUAUGGGUCGUAAACUUCUUUUAUAGAAGAAUAUGUAUUAGAUGAAUAAGGAUCGGCUAACUCCGUGCCAGCAGCCGCGGUAAUAC
rnacentral:rRNA from 1 species